rnacentral:rRNA from 1 species
UACGUAGGGUGCGAGCGUUAAUCGGAAUUACUGGGCGUAAAGCGUGCGCAGGCGGUUAUGUAAGACAGUUGUGAAAUCCCCCGGGCUCAACCUGGGAAUUGCAUCUGUGACUGCAUAGCUAGAGUACGGUAGAGGGGGAUGGAAUUCCGCGUGUAGCAGUGAAAUGCGUAGAUAUGCGGAGGAACACCGAUGGCGAAGGCAAUCCCCGUGGACCUGUACUGACGCUCAUGCACGAAAGGCGUGGGGAGCAAACAGG